rnacentral:sRNA from 1 species
AAGGCCUCCUUCCUUAGGCAGGUGUAAAUAAAUUAAACAUUUCUUCUACCGUAAAUAAAAAGAAGGCAGAACAAUCGAAACUGGGGAGACUUGGAAAACGCUGAGGCCAAACUUUCCAUAUUGAUUUAUUGGGGCCGGGAGAAUGAAAGGUUGGGAAGAUUCUGGGGCCUUUUGACAUCCUUGGUUCUUUAUUACUCCGGACUUGAUUCCUUCUCACUUUUUUCUGCCAUUCCACUGAAGAGCUGAGAGCCCAGGGAAGUCGGAUCUGAAGCUGGAAUGUGAGAAACUCGCCAGUGAGAAGACAGAGAUGCAGCGGCAUUAUGUCAUGUAUUAUGAAAUGUCCUAUGGGUUGAAUAUAGAAAUGCACAAGCAGGCAGAGAUUGUCAAGAGGCUGAAUGCUAUCUGUGCACAAGUCAUUCCUUUCCUGUCCCAAGAGCACCAGCAACAAGUGGUGCAGGCUGUGGAACGGGCCAAGCAGGUGACCAUGGCAGAACUGAACGCCAUCAUUGGGCAACAACUCCAGGCCCAGCAUUUAUCACAUGGACAUGGUCUCCCCGUACCUCUGACUCCACACCCUUCAGGGCUCCAGCCCCCUGCCAUUCCACCGAUCGGUAGCAGUGCCGGGCUUCUGGCCCUCUCCAGUGCUCUAGGAGGUCAGUCCCAUCUUCCAAUUAAAGAUGAGAAGAAGCACCAUGACAAUGAUCACCAAAGAGGUGAG